AUGCAGUUCAAAACCUACAAUCAUGUUCCCUCUAAUGCAUUAAUCAAACGUUUAACUAAGGUGUCAAAUCAAUAUUGCAUACAAUUGAUAUGCCAAGGGCUAUGAUAAUGAUCAACAACAAGGAUCACCAAAUAUAAAUCAUGACCUUGACGCAAUUCAAUGAAUCAAUGUUUUAGGAAAGUCAUGAAAUGCGAAUGCAAAGGCUAAAUGUUUCCAAUAAAAUUGAGUUAUAUAAUCCAUCGCAGUAUGAAACCGAUCAAAGGAUAUUGCUGAUCAUGUGAAGAUCAAUAAAAAAAAUAGGCGCAAUAAGCAUGAUGACACAAAAGAUACCGACAGUUCAGAUAAUGAUCAAAAUGUGACCUCGAAGGGAGACAUUUUCAUGCUUACAAUUGUGAAGACUUAGCGAAGACAAGCGCGCGAAAAGGCGCAAAGAAUAAAAGCGUCGUUCAUUUGAAAUUUGCGACGAAAAAUCAAUGUUUGUGAAACAUUGGUGUAGGCAGCUUAUGAGGUAAUGAAAAAUGUGAAUUGGCUGCCAACAUGUAGCUAAUGUGUUAAGUAUCCCGCCCGAGGAGUACGUUCUCAAGAAUGAAACUCAAAGGAGUUGACAGGGGCCUGCACAAGCGGUGGAGCAUGUGGUUCAAUUUGAUGCAAAGUGAAUAACCUUACCAGGGCUUGACAUGCCGUGAAUCCUCCCGAAAGAGAGGAGUGCCUUCGGGAACGCGGACAUAGGUGGUGCAUGGAUUUUGUUAGCUCGUGCCAUAAGGUGUUGGGUUAAGUCUUGCAAUGAGUGAAACCCUUGUGUUUAGUUUCUAGCAUUGAUUUUGGAACCCUGAAUAGACUGCUGAUGAUAAGACGAAGGAAGGUGAGGAUGACAUCAAGUCAUCAUGCCCCUUAUGCCCUGGGUGACACACAUGCUACAAUGAUCAGGACAAAGGGUCGCGACCCUGCAAGGGCAAGGUAACCUCAAAAACUCGGCCUUAGUUCGGAUUGCGGGAUGCAACUUGCCUGCAUGAAGCCAAAAUCACUAGUAAUCGCCGGUUAGCCAUACGACGGUGAAUCCAUUCCCAGGCCUUGUACACACCGCCCGUCACACUAUGGGAGCUGGCCAUGCCCCAAGUCGUUACCUUAACUAAAAGGAGGGGGAUGACGAAUGCUGGGCUAGUGACUAGAGUGAAGUCGUAACAAGGUAGCCGUAUUGGAAGGUGUGGCUG
rnacentral:rRNA from 1 species